UCUAUAAACUUCUGAUUUAGUCUUUCUCUAAGAAAUUAAAGAAGGACUUGCACCUCCUUGAGUUUCCUCCAGGUUCCAGCCUUCAUUGAGAAGAUCAUGCCUGAAAACAUUAGAACAUGCUUCCCUGGAGGCACUCUCACUAUAAUGCAGUCUCUUCCCUGCUCUUAGCUUCCACGUGCCUCAGAGUCCUUAUGCUGCCUGAUGGGAAAGCAGAAAGUGCCACACAAAUAGAAACAUGAGUGGGUAAAGCAGCUUCAUGAUUGACUUAGACAAAUCCCUAUUUAAUCUCUAAGCAAGGAAUGAAAGACAGUAAGUAACUGAGCAAAUGUAACAGAGAUUUGGAGCAAAUGUAACAGAGAUUUGGAGCAUGCCUUUCUUAAAAGCACUGACUCUUCACUUGGACCUACAGAUCUUACUAAGGUCUGCACGUAGACAUGUUAAUCAUUAAGGACUCUCUGUCUAAAUAGUGAUACUGAAGGAUUGAUUUGUCCUAAGUUUACCUCUCUCAUCCUCCACAAAGUCUGAAGAUAGCAAAAUAAGAGCAACUAAACUAUUCUCAAGAUUCCAGAAACAGUGAGUCUUGAAGGAAGAUCACCAUGAGACUGCCUUCCUGAACAGGAGCAAUCAUCUCACAUUGGAAACUGGAUCACCCCCCAAAGCAAUGAUGGCUUCCCCUGGAGAACCUCACGGAACCAGGGCUGAGGAACUGGGAGCAAAACUGCCACCAAUUCAUAGUGAUGCUGAAGGAUUAAAGGAGCAAGACAGUUUUUACAUCUGUAGGACACAAUAGAUGAAACGUAACAGCAGACAUCCCUGGAAUACCAACAGUUGACUCAGCAAGGAGGCCGUGGCCAGAUUCCUCCCCUCAAUCUUGGACUUCUCACCUCCAGAGCCAUGAGCCAAUAAACCUCUAUUCAUUGUA